GGUUUGGAUCAUGGCUCAGAUUGAACGCUGGCGGGAUGCUUUACACAUGCAGUCGAACGGCAGCACGGACUUCGGUCUGGUGGCGAGUGGCGAACGGGUGAGUAAUGUAUCGGAAUGUGCCUAGUAGCGGGGGAUAACUACGCGAAAGCGUAGCUAAUACCGCAUACUGCCCUUCGGGAAAGCGGGGACCUUCGGGCCUCGCACUAUUAGAGCGGCCGAUAUCGGAUUAGCUAGCUGGUGGGGUAACGGCUCACCAAGGCGACGAUCCGUAGCUGGUUUGAGAGGACGACCAGCCACACUGGGACUGAGACACGGCCCAGACUCUACGGGAGGCAGGCAGUGGGGAAUUUGGACAAUGGGGAAACCCUGAUCCAGCCAUCCCGCGUGGGGCAUGAAUGCCUUCGGGUUGUAAAGCACUUUUGGCAGGAGAAGAAACGGCACGAUAACACCCUUGUGCAACUGACGGUACCUGCAGAAUAGUUACCCGGCUAACUACGUGCCAGCAGCCGCGGUAAUACGUAGGGUGCAAGCGUUAAUCGGAAUUACUGGGCGUAAAGCGUGCGCAGGCGGCUCGAAAGAAAGAUGUGAAAUCCCAGAGCUUAACUUUGGAACUGCAUUUUUAACUACCGAGCUAGAGUGUGUCAGAGGGAGGUGGAAUUCCGCGUGUAGCAGUGAAAUGCGUAGAUAUGCGGAGGAACACCGAUGGCGAAGGCAGCCUCCUGGGAUAACACUGACGCUCAUGCACGAAAGCGUGGGGAGCAAACAGGAUUAGAUAAUUCUGGUAGUCCACGCCCUAAACGAUGUCAACUAGCUGUUGGGGCCCCGCCUUAGUAGCGCAGCUAACGCGUGAAGUUGACCGCCUGGGGAGUACGGUCGCAAGAUUAAAACUCAAAGGAACGCUGACGGGGACCCGCACAAGCGGUGGAUGAUGUGGAUUAAUUGAUGCAACGCGAAAAACCUUACCUACCCUUGACAUGUCUGGAAUCCCGGUGAGAUUUGGGGGUGCUCAGGAGAACCGGAACACAGGUGCUGCAUGGCUGUCGUCAGCUCGUGUCGUGAGAUGCUGGGUUAAGUCCCGCAACGAGCGCAACCCUUGUCAUUAGUUGCUGCGCGAAAGGGCACUUCCAUCAGAGACUGCCGGUGACAAACCGGAGGAAGGUGGGGAUGACGUCAAGUCCUCAUGGCCCUUAUGGGUAGGGUUUACACGUCAUACAAUGGUCGGGACAGAGGGUCGCUAACCCGCGAGGGGGAGCUAAUCCAGAAACCCGAUCGUAGUCCGGAUCGCAGUCUGCAACUGACUGCGGAAGUCGGAAUCGCUAGUAAUCGCGGAUCAGCAUGUCGCGGUGAAUACGUUCCCGGGUCUUGCAUACACACCGCCUGUCACACCAUGGGAGUGGGUUUUACCAGAAGUAGUUAGCCUAACCGUAAGGAGGGCGACGGUCAGCACGCUGUAGGAUUCAUGACUGGGGUGAAGUCGUGGCCAGUGCAAC
rnacentral:rRNA from 1 species